ensembl:lncRNA
AUCGGGGAUGACAUUUAAUAGCAGACAAAGAAACUUGGGUUGGGAACACCAUUUAAACACAUGACUUGAUGAGGGGAAGACGAGGAACACCUUGGAUCAAUGGAAACACUUGGGAUCAAAUUAACUAAUAGCUCAAUCAGGGAGCAGGAACACACAAAACACGGGACAGAGUCUAACAUGACACCCCCCUCCGGAAAGCAUGACCUCACACCACAUAACAUCACGGGGCGGGGGGGGGUGGUGCUCUGGAGGCACCUAGGACACACCCGGGACAGUGGGCCUCCAGAGCGGCACCUGCACAGGACACCAUGGCGGAUCAGGUGCCCCCACCCCACCAAAAAAAAAAAUACUUGGGGGAACUUACAGCCCUCCCUGGGCUUAACGGGAAAUCAGGAGCCCUCCAUGGGCUUAACGGGACAUCUGGAGCUCAUUCUGGGUUCGACUCGGGAACAGGAGCCCUCCCUGGGCUUGACUGUGGAUUGGGUAUGCGCGUACGUGGUGCUGGCACCGGCUGGUGCUCUUGAGGAGCAGGCACAGCAAAGCGGGUAGCUGGCACUGUGAGUUUAGGAGCUGGAGCGAGCUCUGGGGCUGGAGCCGACACUGGAGCGAGCUCUGGGGCUGGAUUACCAUUUGGCGGGCUUGCCAUAUUAAUGUUCAAAGGGCUUGCCAUAUGAGCUGGCGGGCUUGGGUGAGCUGCGAACGGCAGUGGGCUUGACUUCAGCGUGGCCGGCUGAUUGGGCUUUGGGAACUGCCAGCUGACUGGGCUUGGAAACAGCUGGCUGAGGGGUUCCGGAUUGGGACCGGAGGCUCUCAAGACACCGGAUGACUGCCUCCUUCCAGUCAAGGUUGGUUGUGUCUGGGAGCUCCACGGGAUGAUGGCAUGUUAUCCCGAUCCGGAACAGCAUCACAAGUGUUUCCCCUUCGAGAGAGCAGGCGAGGGUGAGCGGUACUAAUGCCCUCGCAUAACUGACCAGGUCAGGGCUCGUUCCUCCAUUAGGGCACAGAAAAACUAAACCAAAACACUAUUAAAAAACAGAAAAUAAACACGAGGAGAGGGAAUGCCGCUUACUGUUCAGUCUGCUCUUCUGUCACAGUCACUCAGGCUGGAAGGGACGAGGAGACCCUGGAGAAUACUUCAAAGAAGUUUUAUUCAGGAAACAAGGAGACAACAAACACUGGAACAUCGGGGAUAACAUUUAACAGCAGACAAAGAAACUUGGGUUGGGAACACUAUUUAAACACAUUUGAUGAGGGGAAGACGAGGAACACCUCGGAUCAAUGGAAACACAUGGGAUCAAAUUAAC